AAGUGACGGCUGAGUCAGUGAGAGGCCAAAAGCCAUGAUCUCUGUAGCUGUGCUAAGCAAGAAUUAUACAUAAAAUCACUGGGCUGUGCUUCAAAAAUGACUGAAUACAUGGAUUGAUUUAUAAAUAAAUAAAUGUAAUAUUAGGUAGGUAAAUACAUCAAUGGGUGGUUCUGUCUUUGAAUGUGUUUUUGUCAUCAACAAUAAUAAAAAAAAGUAAAUCAACGUCACAAUUAAAUGAAACUAACAGAGCGUGUGUUCAUGAGCCACUCCCUCCUCAUGAUGCCCUGAUGCAAAUCUUCAGUCUGUGCAGUGUACUUCUGUCCUGCUGACUGCUCUUGUACUUUGUGUGGAGCAUCAGAGGUCACAUCUCCAGCCUCAGGAUGAUGAACACACUCACUCUUCUGCUGGUUGCUUUCUCUCUGUCCUGUUGUACAGGUCAGAGUAUGGAGUCCAUUCCUUCCAGUUCAGUAGUGAAAAGGCCUGGGGAGACUCUCAGUCUGUCCUGCAGGGGAUCUGGCUUCACAUUCAGCUGCUGCGCUAUGAACUGGAUCAGACAACCUGCAGGAAAAGGACUGGAAUGGGUCGGGGUUGGCUACUCCAGCUCCAGUAGAAACACAUAUGCCAGCAGUGUGCGAGGACGUGCAGAAAUCAGUAGAGAUGAUAGCAGCAGCAUGGUGUAUCUGAGACUGUCCAACUUAAAGCCAGAGGACUCUGCUGUGUAUUACUGUGCCAGAGACACACACUGGUUAAAGGAAGCAGAGAAGCUUUACAAAAACUCCACAGAACAUUUGUUUCCAAAGACCUACAGGUGGCAGCAGAACAUAUGAAGUCAGAUGACACUAACUAAGGAGAGUAUGACAGUGACUCUAAACACUCACACAUACAUACAUGCAUCAUAUGAAAACAACAGCUGAUGUUGUGGUUUGUGACUUCCUGU